CCCUGAGAUCAGCGGCGGACGGGUGAGUAACACGUGGGUAACCUGCCUGUAAGACUGGGAUAACUCCGGGAAACCGGGGCUAAUACCGGAUAACACCUACCCCCGCAUGGGGGAAGGUUGAAAGGUGGCUUCGGCUAUCACUUACAGAUGGACCCGCGGCGCAUUAGCUAGUUGGUGAGGUAAUGGCUCACCAAGGCGACGAUGCGUAGCCGACCUGAGAGGGUGAUCGGCCACACUGGGACUGAGACACGGCCCAGACUCCUACGGGAGGCAGCAGUAGGGAAUCUUCCGCAAUGGACGAAAGUCUGACGGAGCAACGCCGCGUGAGUGAAGAAGGUUUUCGGAUCGUAAAACUCUGUUGUUAGGGAAGAACAAGUGCCGUUCGAAUAGGGCGGCGCCUUGACGGUACCUAACCAGAAAGCCACGGCUAACUACGUGCCAGCAGCCGCGGUAAUACGUAGGUGGCAAGCGUUGUCCGGAAUUAUUGGGCGUAAAGCGCGCGCAGGUGGUUUCUUAAGUCUGAUGUGAAAGCCCACGGCUCAACCGUGGAGGGUCAUUGGAAACUGGGGAACUUGAGUGCAGAAGAGGAAAGUGGAAUU
rnacentral:rRNA from 1 species